GUGUCAGCAUUAGUGAUACACAGGAUAAAUCAUCAAACUAAAGUAAACAAGGAACUACAUCUGUAGACCAGAGGAAGUUGUUUAAACUUUUCCUGACCUGGCCAUUUUACCACACCUUCCCCUAUUGAACUUACUAUUGACUGGAACCCUGUAAAUUGUUGGGUGCUUUUGGAAGCAUGAUCCAAGAAAGUAUGAGAAUGGAAGUAUGCACAGCAGCAGAACUAAUUCAAAGUCGACUAUGAAUGGCCCUUAAAGUAUGUUGGUAGUUUGUUCACAGUUCAUAAAAGAGAUUCCUGUAUAAUGUUAGUCAUUCAAAUGUAUCCCAUCCAAAUGUGUAUCAUUCAUUUGUGCAGAAUACUGGUAAAAUUAAAAUUCUUUAUCUUUA